UACGAAGGGGGCUAGCGUUGCUCGGAAUCACUGGGCGUAAAGCGCACGUAGGCGGAUUGUUAAGUCAGGGGUGAAAUCCUGGAGCUCAACUCCAGAACUGCCUUUGAUACUGGCGAUCUUGAGUCCGGGAGAGGUGAGUGGAACUGCGAGUGUAGAGGUGAAAUGCGUAGAUAUUAGGAAGAACACCGGUGGCGAAGGCGGCCCACUGGAUCGGUACUGACGCUGAGGCGCGAAAGCGUGGGGAGCGAACAGG
rnacentral:rRNA from 1 species